UUUCUCUCUUUUCCUUCGCUCAUCCCACCGAUUCCCCAGCUUUGCACGCCUCCCCUCCCACCAGUCAACUUCCAAGAACAAGCCCUCCCUUAAGUUGACUUCAGCAGCACCACCAUCAAUUGUCCGCAUCACAUCCACGCCUUCUACCCCAACAUCAGCGACCGCUUGCCAGCUCGCCCAUCGUCUUCGUGCAUCAACGACGCCUCCACCGAAGCAAUUCCCACCGAGUUUUUCUCUCCAAGCUGCCACGUCCGGGUCAACUAAACUUCAAGCGAAGCCCCAUCAUUGACCUUGAAGCUUCUCCGUGCGCCACGCCUACAGCUCCAUCGAACUCAUCAUCCACCGAAGUUGCUCCACCAAGUCUUGUCUUCAUGCUGGUUUGUUGACCCCAGAAUCAAGCCGUGGCGUCCUCCAUCGGGUGAAUCGCCCACACGUCUGAAGCUACCGCUGUGUUGACUCCAACUCGUGGCCACCGAAGUGAAGACCCAGCAAGCUGCUCACUUUGUCCGCGUUGUCUCUCUCUCGCUCGUGAAUUUCCUCACCGAAGCUGCCCCGUGCAUGACACCAGCGAAGCCAGCCCAAC
rnacentral:lncRNA from 1 species